rnacentral:piRNA from 1 species
UUACCUCGGUAAAGGGAAGCCGGUUCGUUC